rnacentral:rRNA from 1 species
AAUAUUGCGCAAUGGUGGGAAUUCUGACGCAGUGUCGCCGCUUGAUCGAUGAAGGNAUNNGGUACNANAAGCUCUGUCUUGAGNNNNNAAGGUCCUCGACCUUCGCGGUACCUAAGGUGGAAACCCCGGCUAACGAUGUUCCCGCAGCCGCCGUGAUACGUAGGGGGCAAGCGUUGUCCGGAAUUAUUGGGCGUAAAGGGUGCGUAGGCGGCCUUUUAAGUCAAAUGUGAAAGCCCACGGCUUAACCGUGAGACUGCAUUUGAAACUGGAGGGCUUGAGUAUCGGAGAGGGUAGUGGAAUUCCCAGUGUAGCGGUGGAAUGCGUAGAUAUUGGGAGGAACACCAGUGGCGAAGACGACUACCUGGACGAAAACUGACGCUGAGGCACGAAAGCUAGGGGAGCAAAC